ACAAUGGAGAGUUUGAUCCUGGCUCAGGACGAACGCUGGCGGUGUGCUUCAUACAUGCAAGUCGAACGAUAAGGCGUCUUCGGACGUACAUAAGUGGCGGACGGGUGAGUAACACGUAGGGAAUCUGCCUCAAGGAGGGGGACAACAGCUGAAAACGGCUGCUAAUACCCCAUAUGAGCUAAGUUGAAAUACUUAUCUUGAAAACUCCGGUGCCUUGAGAUGAGCCUGCGUCUGAUUAGCUUGUUGGUGGGGUAAAGGCCUACCAAGGCGAUGAUCAGUAGCUGG
rnacentral:rRNA from 1 species